rnacentral:rRNA from 1 species
UACGGGAGGCAGCAGUAGGGAAUCUUCGGCAAUGGGGGCAACCCUGACCGAGCAACGCCGCGUGAGUGAAGAAGGUUUUCGGAUCGUAAAGCUCUGUUGUAAGAGAAGAACGUGUGUGAGAGUGGAAAAUUCACACAGUGACGGUAACUUACCAGAAAGGGACGGCUAACUACGUGCCAGCAGCCGCGGUAAU